GAUGAACGCUAGCUACAGGCUUAACACAUGCAAGUCGAGGGGUAACGAGAGGAAAGCUUGCUUUCCUUGUCGACGACCGGCGCACGGGUGAGUAACGCGUAUCCAACCUGCCCCCAACUAGGGAAUAACCUUGCGAAAGUAAGACUAAUACCCUAUAAUUUCCUCAGAUGUCAUCUGACGAGGAAUAAAGAUUUAUCGGUUGUGGAUGGGGAAGCGUCUGAUUAGCUUGUUGGCGGGGGAACGGCCCACCAAGGCAACGAUCAGUAGGGGUUCUGAGAGGAAGGUCACCCACAUUGGAACUGAGACACGGUCCAAACUCCUACGGGAGGCAGCAGUGAGGAAUAUUGGUCAAUGGGCGGAAGCCUGAACCAGCCAAGUAGCGUGCAGGAUGACGGCCCUAUGGGUUGUAAACUGCUUUUAUACAGGAAUAAAGUUAGCCACGUGUGGUUAUUUGUAGGUACUGUAUGAAUAAGGACCGGCUAAUUCCGUGCCAGCAGCCGCGGUAA
rnacentral:rRNA from 1 species